ACAGNUGCUGCAUGGCUGUCGUCAGCUCGUGUCGGNAGAUGUUGGGUUAAGUCNCGCAACGAGCGCAACCCCUCGUCCGCAUGUUGCCAGCGGGUUCGGCCGGGCACCCAUGCGAGACCGCCGGCGUUAAGCCGGAGGAAGGUGGGGACGACGUUCAAGUCAUCAUGCCCCUUAUGUCCUGGGCUGCACACGUGCUACAAUGGUCGGCACAAUGGGCUGCCAGCCCGCGAGGGCGAGCGAAUCCCUAAAGCCGGCCCCAGUUNGANANNGGAGGCUGCAACCCGCCUCCAUGAAGUCGGAGUUGCUAGUAAUCGCAGAUCAGCAUGCUGCGGUGAAUACGUUCCCGGGUCUUGUACACACCGCCCGUCACACCAUGGGAGUCAGUAACGCCCGAAAUCGGUGACCUAACCGCAAGGAAGGAGCCGCUGAAGGCGGGACGGAUAACUGGGGUGAAGUCGUAACAAGGUAGCCGUAUCGGAAGGUGCGGCUGGAUCACCU
rnacentral:rRNA from 1 species